rnacentral:snRNA from 1 species
GUGCUUGCUCCAGCAGCACAUAUUCUAAAACUGGCACAAUACAGAAAAGACUGGCAUGGCCCCUAAAGCAAGGAUGAGACACAAAUCUCUAAAGCAUUCCACAGUUUU